CGGCGGAGACCGAGGCGAGCCUGGGCAACGCGGGAUCGCCGCCAGCGCCACCGUCCGUUCACAUGGCAAACCAGAGUUGUGAUGUGUUUCAGAAACGUGGCCACAGUUUUGCUGAGGAGGGCACAUGCAAAAAGAAGUUAGCUACUUCACCAUCUUCAUCUUUUAGGGCAGACAGACAGGCUUCCUUGUUGACUUCUGAUCUCAUGCCAAGUUGUGAAGGAUUUCAGAAGCAUGGUUAUAA